UGCAGUCAAUGAUGAUUUUUUCCCCAAAUUGCUGAUUGAGUAGUGAUUAAUUUAAAAAGAUCACCAUCUUUCGGCUGAGAUUGCA